rnacentral:lncRNA from 1 species
AAAAUGGUAGUUGUGGAAGGUGGCUAUCAUAGUAGUGAUCGAUCGUCGAAGUUUGCUGUAGUAGUCAAAAGAGAUAGUUGAUAUUGGAGAUGGUGGUAGGUGGGUGACAAUCGGUGACUGUAGUGAUGGACAGUGUUGGAAGAUGGUGGGUGGUCGGUGGUGGUGAUGGGUGUCGGAGAUGGUGGUAGUUGUGGUUGGAGGUGGGUGAUCGGCGGUGAUGGCGGGUGUCGGAGAUGGUGAUCGGUGGUGGUGCUUAUAGAGGUGGGUGGUAGGUGGUCGAAGAUGGUGUAGCGGUUGUCAAAGGUGGAUGGUGGGUGGUGCUGGCAGUGACCGGAGGUGGGUGGGUGAUGAUGAUGGAGGUGAUUGGGGAGACGAUGGUGGUUGCUGGUGAUGGGAGAUGGUGGUUGGAGGUCACUCGUGGUGAGAGAUGGGCGGCAAGUGGCUGAAAUUAAGUAAAACAACUCAACCCCAUUUUACCAAAUUUUAUUUUGAAAUUAACUUUCAAAACCAAAAACUCACGACAACUCCAAAUUUCAAAACCAAAAAUUUAUAACCACCCCAAACAGGGUCUAACUUUUGUAGACUAAGUUCUGUAAAAUAGACUUCUAGAGUCUAGCCAGUAAGUCUAUGUGGAUUUGGGUCUGCAGCCUUAUCAGAGUCACCGGUAAUUAG